AGUGAACGCUGGCGGUAGGCCUAACACAUGCAAGUCGAACGGCAGCACAGAGGAGCUUGCUCCUUGGGUGGCGAGUGGCGGCCGGGUGAGGAAUACAUCGGAAUCUACUCUGUCGUGGGGGAUAACGUAGGGAAACUUACGCUAAUACCGCAUACGACCUACGGGUGAAAGCAGGGGAUCUUCGGACCUUGCGCGAUUGAAUGAGCCGAUGUCGGAUUAGCUAGUUGGCGGGGUAAAGACCCACCAAGGCGACGAUCCGUAGCUGGGCUGAGAGGAUGAUCAGCCACACUGGAACUGAGACACGGUCCAGACUCCUACGGGAGGCAGCAGUGGGGAAUAUUGGACAAUGGGCGCAAGCCUGAUCCAGCCAUACCGCGUGGGUGAAGAAGGCCUUCGGGUUGUAAAGCCCUUUUGUUGGGAAAGAAAUCCAUCUGGUUAAUACCCGGGUGGGAUGACGGUACCCAAAGAAUAAGCACCGGCUAACGUCGUGCCAGCCGCCGCAGUAA
rnacentral:rRNA from 1 species